GACGAACGCUGGCGGCGUGCCUAAUACAUGCAAGUCGAACGCAGUGGGGACGGGUGAGUAACACGUGGGUAACCUACAAGCAGAGGGGAUAAAACUUGGAAAAAGGUGCUAAAACGAUACUGAUGGAUGGACCCGCGUGGCAUUAGCUAGUUGGUGGGGUAACGGCUCACCAAGGCCACGAUGCAUAGCCGACCUGAGAGGGUUAUCGGACACACUGGGACUGAGACACGGCCCAGACUCCUACGGGAGGCAGCAGUAGGGAAUCUUCGGCAAUGGACGAAAGUCUGACCGAGCAACGCCGCGUGAGUGAAGAAGGUUUUCGGAUCGUAAAACUCUGUUGUUAGAGAAGCGGUAUCUAACCAGAAAGCCACGGCUAACUACGUGCCAGCCGCCGCGGUAAUAC
rnacentral:rRNA from 1 species